UUUUGGGGCCAGCUGCAGCUUUCUUAACACAUCCAAGUCGAGGGGUAACAUUGGUGCUUGCACCAGAUGACGACCGGCGCACGGGUGAGUAACGCGUAUACAAUCUACCUAUUACUGGGGUAUAGCCCGGAGAAAUUUGGAUUAACCCCCCAUGGUAUGUAAAAGUGGCAUCACUUUUACAUUAAAAUUACGGUGGUAAUAGAUGAGUAUGCUUUCCAUUAGUUAGUUGGUAAGGUAACGGCUUACCAAGGCAGCGAUGGGUAGGGGUCCUGAGAGGGAGAUCCCCCACACUGGUACUGAGACACGGACCAGACUCCUACGGGAGGCAGCAGUGAGGAAUAUUGGACAAUGGAGGCAACUCUGAUCCAGCCAUGCCGCGUGCAGGAAGACUGCCCUAUGGGUUGUAAACUGCUUUUACAGAGGAAGAACCGCACCCACGUGUGGGUGUUUGACGGUCUCUGCGAAUAAGGAUCGGCUAACUCCGUGCCAGCAGCCGCGGUAAUACGGAGGAUCCAAGCGUUAUUCCGGAAUAUUGGGUUUAAAGGGUCCGUAAGCCGGACAAUUAAGUAAGUG
rnacentral:rRNA from 1 species